ensembl:lncRNA
GCCCAAGCACCUUCCUGAACCCUGCUUCAUACCUGCUUGGCUCUGCCUUCAUCGCGCUCAUGCCCACGCAUGCAUCUUGAGCCCAUCAUUGAUGCCAGCUCUCAGUACAGCUGAGCAUAUGCUGAGAUCUCGUUAAUGGCAAUUAAACUGGAGCGCGUGGUUAAGUACCUUGCAGAAGGUAGCUGCUUUGCUGUGUCACUUCUUAAAGAGCAUCCCUGCCAAAUUUCAGAAUUUUAAUCUCUUCACUAUUGACUCUGGGUGCUGUCGGCCCGCUUCCUCCUUUUGUUGCAAUCUCUCCAUCUAAAGGUUAGCAUUGCCACGAUAGGAUUUGAUCCUCUUCUUUCCCGACGAUGAUGAACAUAAUUACAUUCUUAACAAGUGAAUUAAAUUACAGCAUGAUUUCUCUAACAAUGAGCGCUCUCCUCGCGAUGGGCUGAAGAGGAGCUGAGCUGCUGGCACGCGGGAGCCCACGCCAUGCUUCAGAAUGAAGGGAAGAAGCUCUGAACAAGAAGGGAAAGACUUUCUGCUGACUGACUAUCCCAACCCAGACAUCGUCAGCACUGUGGUUGGUUCAAUGCCUCUUUUGGGUAGGGGUUUGUCCAAGAGAUGCCACCCAGCGCCUGAGCCACGCAAAGCUCUGUACAUUCCCCAUGCAGGGCUACUUGCAGCCACGCUGGAGCUGUCUGCUGCUCUGAGCCUCUCCAAAAGCUCAAGCAUGUGGGGAGAGUGUGAAGCACUGAGCUAAGGGCAAAUCCCUCCAUCAUGGGACAAUUGGAUGGACAAUACCUCUUCCAAGUCAGAUGGAUGGGGAUGGACCUUUCCAGAGAGGUGACCCCAUGGCAGACCCUCUCAGCCUUGGGUCUUCUCCCACCCAGCUUCCAGACUGACCCAACAGCUCACUGGCACCCAAGCAUCACCCCAGUUGCCUUUUCAGGGAGCAGCAUCCUCUGACUAGCACACAUUUUAACACCCACUCCUCCUGGAGGCACAGUGGGACUGAUUAAGCAUCUGUCCUGCAGAAAGCAGAGCAGACCUUCCCUAAUCUCAUACCAUCUCGCCUGGAAUGGACCCAGCCAGCAGUUUGCAAGCAGAGAGAGCAAACUGGGAAGUACUCACUGCUGCACCCAGCCUGAUUUUAUCUGACCUUGGAAGAAGGUCAGCCUGUGCUGCCCCUGCACAGAGCUGUGAAAGGCAAAUCCACAGUGUUCAGCAAAUCUCUUCGUCUAACAGGCUCAUUUCUUCUCAAGAAUUCAUUUUGGAGGGAUUCGGUGGCAUUGACAGAGGUGGCACUAGUAAUUUCGCUGCUCAUAUUCAGGAUGUAGCACUUCAUCCUUCACCCUACAAGUGGGUUAGCCUGUGAAUUGCUCUGUGCUUCAAGUUGCAGAGCCUGAAUUAUUUUGGCUGCGGGACAUGGGCUGUUCAGCAGAGCUCAGCCUCGAGAUUGCAUCGGGGCUCACCAGCAGCAUGGGGAGCUCAUAACUCCAGCACUGGUUUCAAGCACUGGUGGCUGCAAAUGACAAAAUCCUCAGAAAGCUUCAUGUGGGUGCCGGAGCUCCUGACAUAAGCUCUGAGGGAAGCUGAGGCCUCUUCCAACGCAGCACAGCAGAUGCACAGUAUGUCCCUGUUAAAAAAGAAGGGGAAGGAGACAAGAUGCUGCUGCUCAUUUUCCCUGACACAACUUGCUGCUGGGUGCACGUCCCCAUGCAGGGCCACCCAAGAAUGCUUCAAUCACAUGUUCCUCACACGUGGGUCUCACAGGGUUUGGGCAGACUGAUGCCCACAGCACAGAGCAAAGACCCAGGGACUGCCUUUGGCUACUUUAGGCUCCAGGCUGGGUUGGACCUGUUCUCAGCUCUCAGCAGUCUUCUAGGGGUGGCUGGAGCUGGGUGCAAAGCUAGACAGGCUCCUGGGGGUACCAAGGCCCUCAACUGUGCAGAUAGUGGAGGUCAGCAGCAUUCUUUGGACCCCCUCAACAUGCUGUGCCAGGGGAACCAGGUCUCCUCCAGCAGCUUCUGGGUAGAAAGCAGGAGAGCUGCAGGGCAGUAUCACUCCUGGGCCACCUGUCUUACUGG